GGUCCCGCCUGCCCAGUGACCCAAUUCAACGGCCGCGGUAUCCUGACCGUGCGAAGGUAGCGUAAUCACUUGUUCUUUAAAUAAGGACUCGUAUGAACGGCACCACGAAGGCUGCACUGUCUCCCGCCUUUAAUCAGUAAACUUAAUCUCCCCGUGAAGAAGCGGGGAUGUAACCAUAAGACGAGAAGACCCCAUGGAGCUUAAAACAUAAGGCACCUGCUAACAAAUAAAGUUAAGCACAUUGACCCCACGUUUUCGGUUGGGGCGACCACGGAGAACAACCCACCCUCCAUGCUGAAAGAUAAUAUCUUAGCCAAAAAUAACCCAUUUAAGCACCAGAACCCUGACAUCCAUUGACCCAAUCUAUUUGAUCAACGAACCAAGUUACCCUGGGGAUAACAGCGCAAUCCACUUCAAGAGCCCCUAUCGACAAGUGGGUUUACGACCUCGAUGUUGGAUCAGGGUCCCCAAGCGG
rnacentral:rRNA from 1 species